rnacentral:rRNA from 1 species
GACGAACGCUGGCGGCGUGCUUAACACAUGCAAGUCGAACGGAAAGGCCCUUCGGGGUACUCGAGUGGCGAACGGGUGAGUAACACGUGGGUGAUCUGCCCUGCACUUUGGGAUAAGCCUGGGAAACUGGGUCUAAUACCGAAUAGGACCGCGCGCUUCAUGGUGUGUGGUGGAAAGCUUUUGCGGUGUGGGAUGGGCCCGCGGCCUAUCAGCUUGUUGGUGGGGUAAUGGCCUACCAAGGCGACGACGGGUAGCCGGCCUGAGAGGGUGACCGGCCACACUGGGAAUGAGAUACGGCCCAGACUCCUACGGGAGGCAGCAGUGGGGAAUAUUGCACAAUGGGCGCAAGCCUGAUGCAGCGACGCCGCGUGAGGGAUGACGGCCUUCGGGUUGUAAACCUCUUUCACCAGGGACGAAGCGCAAGUGACGGUACCUGGAGAAGAAGCACCGGCCAACUACGUG